UUAAUAUUUGCACCCCCUUUAAUUUUAAAAGAAAUAUAAGUUAUAUGUUUCCGCUUUAUUGUUUAAAAAUUAGUGAUUCUACAGACUUAGAAAGCAUCGAUACUUUUCCUUAGAAAGGAGUAAAGUUUUAUUUCAAUAUUAGCACCUUCUUUAAUUUUGAAAUACAUAUAAUUGAUACGUUACCGCUAUAGCGUGAAAAUCGGUGAUUUUACAUAUCUUAGAGAACAUAGAUACUUUUCCUUAAAAGGGAGUGAACAGAAAAUAUGUUUCCCCUCUGACAGGGCAACAGUCAAACAGAAGACAGACAUCAAUCACCAUCACAUUAUUUGACCACUCAUAUUCAUUGCCUUAAUUUAUUUCAAAUCAAAUUAUUUUCAUACUGAACCCAUUAAAUGUGAUUGUAGAAAUAAAA